GACGAGGCACUACGGUGCUGAAGCAACAAAUGCCCUGCUUCCAGGAAAAGCCUCUAAGCAUCAGGUAACACGAAAUCGUACCCCAAACCGACACAGGUGGUCAGGUAGAGAAUACCAAGGCGCUUGAGAGAACUCGGGUGAAGGAACUAGGCAAAAUGGUGCCGUAACUUCGGGAGAAGGCACGCUGACACGUAGGUGAAGUGAUUUACUCAUGGAGCUGAAGUCAGUCGAAGAUACCAGCUGGCUGCAACUGUUUAUUAAAAACACAGCACUGUGCAAACACGAAAGUGGACGUAUACGGUGUGACGCCUGCCCGGUGCCGGAAGGUUAAUUGAUGGGGUCAGCGCAAGCGAAGCUCCUGAUCGAAGCCCCGGUAAACGGCGGCCGUAACUAUAACGGUCCUAAGGUAGCGAAAUUCCUUGUCGGGUAAGUUCCGACCUGCACGAAUGGCGUAAUGAUGGCCAGGCUGUCUCCACCCGAGACUCAGUGAAAUUGAACUCGCUGUGAAGAUGCAGUGUACCCGCGGCAAGACGGAAAGACCCCGUGAACCUUUACUAUAGCUUGACACUGAACAUUGAGCCUUGAUGUGUAGGAUAGGUGGGAGGCUUUGAAGUGUGGACGCCAGUCUGCAUGGAGCCGACCUUGAAAUACCACCCUUUAAUGUUUGAUGUUCUAACGUGGACCCGUAAUCCGGGUUGCGGACAGUGUCUGGUGGGUAGUUUGACUGGGGCGGUCUCCUCCUAAAGAGUAACGGAGGAGCACGAAGGUUGGCUAAUCCUGGUCGGACAUCAGGAGGUUAGUGCAAUGGCAUAAGCCAGCUUGACUGCGAGCGUGACGGCGCGAGCAGGUGCGAAAGCAGGUCAUAGUGAUCCGGUGGUUCUGAAUGGAAGGGCCAUCGCUCAACGGAUAAAAGGUACUCCGGGGAUAACAGGCUGAUACCGCCCAAGAGUUCAUAUCGACGGCGGUGUUUGGCACCUCGAUGUCGGCUCAUCACAUCCUGGGGCUGAAGUAGGUCCCAAGGGUAUGGCUGUUCGCCAUUUAAAGUGGUACGCGAGCUGGGUUUAGAACGUCGUGAGACAGUUCGGUCCCUAUCUGCCGUGGGCGCUGGAGAACUGAGGGGGGCUGCUCCUAGUACGAGAGGACCGGAGUGGACGCAUCACUGGUGUUCGGGUUGUCAUGCCAAUGGCACUGCCCGGUAGCUAAAUGCGGAAGAGAUAAGUGCUGAAAGCAUCUAAGCACGAAACUUGCCCCGA
rnacentral:rRNA from 3 species